UACGGAGGGGGCUAGCGUUGUUCGGAAUUACUGGGCGUAAAGCGCACGUAGGCGGCUUUGUAAGUUAGAGGUGAAAGCCUGGGGCUCAACUCCAGAAUUGCCUUUGAUACUGCAUGGCUUGAAUCCGGGAGAGGUGAGUGGAAUUCCGAGUGUAGAGGUGAAAUUCGUAGAUAUUCGGAAGAACACCAGUGGCGAAGGCGGCUCACUGGACCGGUAUUGACGCUGAGGUGCGAAAGCGUGGGGAGCAAACAGG
rnacentral:rRNA from 1 species